rnacentral:lncRNA from 1 species
AUGUGCAAAUUUAAGAAGCACAAAUGCAGCAUGUAAGCCAAAUUGAAGGCUCUCGAGCCAAUUGAAUCAUCUCCAGUUAAUUUCCAAGAAACUUGUUGAUCUACAAAUUUAUUCUGAGAUCAACUCGGGAACCCUGUUUUAAAUGUGAAAGUACAGAAAAAUUUGACUUGUUACAUACAUCGGUGUGCUUUAAAAUACCCGAAAGCAAUAUUUGUUGAUCUUUACUCAGCCCAAAGAACCACUUCCUCAAAGUUUCAACAUUGUCUAAAACAGACUUAGAAUAUGUUGAAAUAUAGAUGUUAGUAUGAAAAAGGGUUUCAAGACCAAGAGGAAGAAGGACAAAGAGUGUAUUGGCAGUGGUAAUUUGAAGACGAAAGCCUGCUUUCCUGGAAGAUAUGCGGCAUAAAUAUGCAAACAAAUUACGUCUCAGUUUCUCAACUCCCUGAUCUUCAUAUCCACCCCGUUAUCAACUCCAAU